rnacentral:rasiRNA from 1 species
UACCCUUGGAAAUCGGCCCCGUUAUAA